UGCAUAACAGUAUGGUACAAACAGCGGCGGACAGGAAGGCACUUCAGAGAAUGAUUAAUUGGGCCCAAGAAACCACUGGAAGACAUCGCCAGAUCUCCCUGUUUCAGCAGAGUAAGGGAGAUACUGAGGACGAUUCUCAUCCUGGUUAGUGUCUUCUCUCACUUUUACCAUCAGGCAGAAGACACAAGCAGAGCCAGCCGGACAAACAGGUUUAAAAGCAGCUUUUAUCCAUGGGCUGUCAGACUCCUAAAUACAACUAAAAUUGCUCCAUGCGUACAUGGAAACAUAUGACUGUUUUCUCCCUAAUUACUUGUAUAAGGACCAUUUCCUACAUUAUUCAUGUUGUCUUGUAUUUUUGUUAUGGAUUGCACCAGUAGAGGCUAAAUCAGUUUUGUUGUAUACUGUAUAUGCAGAAUGACAAUAAAAUUUGUUAUUAUUAUUGGACUUCUACAGACCCCAAAUUGAGAGCCACUGAUCUAGCCCAACAGAA